GAGCCCUGCACGCACGUUUUCAGUUGUGUUUUCAGGCCUAUUCAUAGUUUGAAACUCGCUGACAUGUCAAACAGAAACAUUACCUUCAUAAUCUGUGUCGUUGUCAUCACCACCCAAUAGCAUAAUGAUAAUUAUUAUGGACGACCAGAAUAUCGACAGAAUUUAGCGGUUUCCGGCUGCUGUGUAACCCGAGCCGUGGGUGUAGCGACAGCUGGAGAAGCGAGGCAAGGGGCAGCGGGAUAAGGCAGGCUACGAGCCUUUCGGAAAUAACCUCUAGCUUUCUCUUUGUACUUUACUCAAAUCUGGAACUGUAAGUAAAGAUCGGUUAACUUUGCGAUGGCAACGCACUCCCUUUGGACUUGUUUGGUUGCAACUGUAGGCUUACUCUGGGGUGUGACAGUACUGGUGCGUUGUAAUGAGGAGUCUAAGCUGAUUGGGGACCUGUUCAGAGGCUACAACAAGAACAUCCGUCCAGCAGCACACCCCACAGAUAAGGUGGAGGUGCAGGUCAAGCUGAUUCUCACCAACCUCAUCUCCCUGAAUGAAAAGGAAGAGACUCUCACAACUAAUGUCUGGAUUGAGAUUCAAUGGAAUGAUAUUCGCCUAGCCUGGAACACCUCUGAGUAUUUUGGCAUUGAAGUUAUCCGUGUGCCUUACAACACAGUAUGGCUCCCUGACAUCGUCCUUGAGAAUAACAUUGAUGGCAAGUUUGAUGUGGCCUACUAUGCCAAUGUGUUGAUCUACUCCAGUGGCUACAUGUACUGGCUGCCUCCAGCGAUCUACCGCAGCACCUGUGCCAUAGAGAUCACCUACUUCCCCUUUGACUACCAGAACUGCACCUUAGUCUUCAGGUCCCAGACAUACAGUGCAAAUGAGUUGGAAAUCAUACUGGCUGUUGACGCAGAGACCAACAAGCCUAUUGAGUGGGUGGACAUUGAUCCCGAGGCCUUCACUGAGAACGGUGAGUGGGCCAUAAAGCACCGGCCAGCCAGGAAGCUGAUCAACUCACGCUACAGUCCUGAUGACCUGGAGUACCAGGAAAUCUCCUUCAACCUGGUCAUCCAGAGAAAACCUCUAUUCUACAUCAUCAACAUUAUCCUGCCCUGCUCACUCAUCUCCUCCCUGGUCGUCCUGGCCUACUUCCUACCUGCACAGGCUGGGGGACAGAAGCUGACUGUGUCCAUCUCUGUCCUGCUGGCUCAGACUGUCUUCCUAUUUCUUAUUGCUCAGAAGGUCCCUGAGACAUCUCUCAAUGUCCCACUCAUUGGCAAGUACCUGAUCUUUGUCAUGUCUGUGACCACGCUCAUCGCCACCAACCAAAUCGUGGUGCUCAACAUGUCCCUCCGUAGUCCCAAUACCCACACCAUGUCCCACACUAUCAAGCACCUCUUCCUGGAGCUUGUUCCUCAAUUCCUGGGCAUGGCCCCUCUGGUGGAUAAUGCAGAGGCGGAAGUGAACGGAGGGAGGGAGCGACGGCGUAGCUCGUUCGGCCUGAUGCAGAGAGCGGAGGAGUAUGUGCUGAAACAACCACGCAGCGAGAUGAUGUUUGAUAAACAGAGAGAGAGGCACGGCCUCACACGAUCAUUUGGUAAGAUGAGUGGAUUAGAGUGGAAAUCUGAGAACCAACCCUAACCCAAAAAAAUGCAUGGUAGGCUAGAGAUGGCAGAAUUUUUGGGGAAGAUCUUUUUGCCUGAUUUUUAGAUAUGUUUCUGCUAAUAAUUUCCGACAUUAUGGUAGGCUAUUUGUUAGUCAACUUGUCUAUAAUUAGAUACAGGUGGCUUCUCUUCUGUCAUUAUGUUGCCCGAAGACUAAAUAAACCCUUGCUCACCAGAAUGUUAUAAAUCGAUAGAAUGAAUGCUUCAAUCUAGUUGACUUCGGUAAAGUUGUCUCUGUCAUCUCUGCUUCUUUCAUGGAGCAAAGAAGUUUAGAGAUCGGGGAGAAAAUGCAAUAACUCAAAAAUCAGGAAAGAUUUUCUGUGCAACAUUUCCAAAUGACAUCAGUUUACCCGGUUGUAAGGGAAGCUGUGAAAACGAGCCAACAUGUUUCUGAUAAGAUUUCAGUUCGGCUUGGAUGCAUAUUUUGUGGUUGAAAUACUAUCAGCUUUUAUGUUGCUGAUAAAGAUGGGUACAGUUUAGAGGUGCUAACUGUGCAUUUGCAUUCUCUCAAGAUGAAAAAAAUGUCUCCACUCCUGUUCAAAAUUUUGCCUACAUAAUUUUACUGCAAGAAAUGCUUAAUUUUCCAGGAGUUAAUAUUAAGGCUAUGUGAGAGGUUAUAGACCUACAGUCAGUGCCCAGAUUUCAGUUUCCAUUUAACCCUUCUGAACAGUAGGCUACAGUUCCCUCAAUAUGAACUUUUUCUGCCCCUUCCCAAAUGCAUUUAGCGUGUUGGCUAUUUGGCGCAUGUACAGUUAGGCCCUAAAGUUUAGGCUUAUGCACUAAUGCAGAUAGCCUAAAAUUAUGAAAGAAAAACCUCAAUGUAGCUUAAGAUGUACACAUUGCACAAGAAUAAUACAUUUAUGGAUUUUUUUAAGGUAUUGUCUUUAUUCAACCCGCCCGCGACCAACCCGCCCUUCAUCCACACAAUAUUUCAUGACCCUCAACCCGCCCGCCCUGCGGAUAUAACCACGGGGACUGCGGUUUAUGAGUCAACCCGCGCAUCACUAGGGCACGCAUAUCCAGAUUAGUGACCAGAAAGAACUUGUUUCAAGCCACAUUCAUCAUCCAUAUAAAAUACAGUUUAGCAAUCUACUACUGACUUAUCUUUGCCAGAACAAUUGUCUACCUGGCGAUUUGAUUGAUCAUUUUCAUAUUUCAGAUAGGCCUAGCGUGGGUGGCUACUGGCUAUAUGUCUAAAGAUAAGCAGCUGUAACAUCGCACUGCCAUCAAUAUUAUGGGACAAAUAUGUAACAUAUUCUGGUGAAAUUCUUAUAUUUGUGAGGAAGAAGAGGGCUAUCUGGCUGGCGAUGAGCGCUUUGCAGGCAGGCAUGAUAGUGGCCACAAAUAGAGUUGGAUAUAUUAAUGGUAGGCUACAAUCUUCUAUUUUGACUGGUAUUGUCUUGGUCAUUAUUAAUAAGUGCAGAAUUUGAGUUCAAAAUAAUUUACUAAUCAGAUUGUUCUGCUGUCCCUUCUUGUAAUAAUUGCUCAACGAGUCUGUCACCGCGGCUGCGGGAACCAUUCUUUUGGGGUGCCCUUUUUUUGUUGUUGAGCAUGUGCCCCCCCCAAAAAGGUCUGCGGACAGCCCUGCUUUGAGAUGUAGUAUGGAUGGUAUUGAUGUGAGCACCACAGCCAGCCUGUACAAGAGCCUCGCCCAAGCUGCUCCUGAGAUCAAGGAAUGUGUGGAUGCCUGUAACUUUAUCGCUGAGAGCACAAAGCAAGCAAAUGACAUUGGAUCA